rnacentral:rRNA from 1 species
AGCAGCCGCGGUAAUUCCAGCUCCAAUAGCGUAUAUUAAAGUUGUUGCAGUUAAAAAGCUCGUAGUUGAAUUUCGGGAUCAAUUUGCUGGUCGUGCCUUCGGUACGCACUGGUAUUAUUGGUUUCUCCUUUCUGAUGAAUCGCGAUGUCAUUAAUUUGGUGUCGUGGGGAAUCAGGACCGUUACUUUGAAAAAAUUAGAGUGUUUAAAGCAGGCUAACGCUUGAAUACAUUAGCGUGGAAUAAUGAAAUAGGACGUCGAUCUUAUUUGUUGGUUUCUAGGGUUGACGUAAUGAUUAAUAGGGAUAGUUGGGGGCAUUAGUAUUCAAUUGUCAGAGGUGAAAUUCUUGGAUUUAUUGAAGACUAACUACUGCGAAAGCAUUUGCCAAGGAUGUUUUCAUUAAUCAAGACGAAAGUUAGGGGAUCGAAGACGAUCAGAUACCGUCGUAGUCUUAACCAUAAACUAUGCCGACUAGGGAUCGGAUGAUGUUAAUUUUUAAUGACUCAUUCGGCGCCGUACGGAACCG